UACGGAGGGUGCAAGCGUUAUCCGGAUUUACUGGGUUUAAAGGGUGCGUAGGCGGGUUGGUAAGUCAGUGGUGAAAUCUUCGAGCUUAACUCGGAAAUUGCCGUUGAUACUAUUUAUCUUGAAUAUCGUUGAGGUUUGCGGAAUAUGUCAUGUAGCGGUGAAAUGCUUAGAGAUGACAUAGAACACCUAUUGCGAAGGCAGCAGGCUAAACGAACAUUGACGCUGAGGCACGAGAGCGUGGGGAUCAAACAGG
rnacentral:rRNA from 1 species